rnacentral:lncRNA from 1 species
AGAUCAAGCGAUUCGGCUGACGAGGGAUCGAGCUAGCCGGGUCCGAAAAUUUUCACUAUAAAACUGGUUCGGCUGGAGGAGCCGAAUGUAUGAACUGUGCAGGGAUCAAUGUCGGCAGAAGAGCCGAAUGGAAGAAGUACACAGUAACUAGUCAGCUGAAAGAGCCGAAUAAAUGAAAUACAUAAUGACUGAUCGGCUGAAAGAGCCGAAUGCCUAAAUAUAUAUAUAUUAAUAAAACAGAGUGUGCUCAAAGGGCAUACAGACUCUGCAAAUAUGUAGUUUACAACGGAGUGAUGCCCGUGGGGCAGACAGACUCUAGGGUUCUAUUUAAAAACUACUCCUAGGAAAUCAAUAAAUGCGAAAAAGAAAAGAUUACAUUUAGACUACUCUUAGAAAAGCGAUAAAAUUGUAAGGAAGUGGUCUUCUCGUUCAGGGGGGAGAAAGACCCUUAUUACAGGCUUUGAAGUUACUAUUUAUAGUGAUGUCUUCUCAGCCCACAUUAUUGGUCGGUUGAAAGUAGUGGGGGGAGUGGUUGUAAGCAUGACCGUGGAAGUUACGCCCACUCCUCAUGGAAGUUACCCCACUUCUCAUGAAAGUUAUGCCUCCAUUUCUCAACCGUUUCCGCCUAAACACUCUUGAUUUUCAGGCGCUUUAUUGCCGACUCCUGGUGUACCACGUGUCCUUAUUUCUUUGGCUCAUACAUAGGCUAAGUCGACGUGUUAAUUUCAAUUUUGGCAUCAACAGAUAGCAAAUAAAAUUUUCUAUCCAAAAUUCAACUAAUCCAAUAUUUUUACAUUGUUAAAUUAGCAAGUAUCAUAUACCAGCUGUUAAAAAUUGUCAAUUUUAAAAUCUUUUGAUUGUAAGGUAAUGAUGUCGAAAAAUUGUGAAAUUUAAUUUUUAAAAUUUUAAAUGCUCUAAAUUAUGUUUAACGGUAUGUAUUAUUGAUUCGGAAGCUCCAUAAUCGAAAAUGACUUAUUAGUAGGAAUGCAAUCAUACUCGUAAAUUAAAGUAUACUAGCCGUACUCUUAUUUUCCAUUCAUUUUAUAAAAGAAAAAAUUGAAACAAAAAUAAAAUGUAAAAAUAAAUAUAAUGAUCUCUGAGUAUUAAGAGGACGAUAUUUAAGAGGACGAUACUAAGAAUUAAGAGGACGAUAUUUAAAACUCUUCCAAACUUAACCAGCCAAUAUAAAGGGGCAAAAAAAAAUUUAUAUAUCAAUUUCCCCAACCUAACAAAAACACAUGAAAAAUGCCAUUUGAAUAGAUGUGAUUAAAAAUAUGAUUAAAAAUAUGGUGUACUUAAAAAUGCAUAUAUUUGAAAAACAGUUAUAAUUACAUAUAUUUUAUUUGGUUGGGUGUAAUAGAAAAUGUUGUAAGCAUAAAUAAUUCAUUUGGUUGUAUUUAGAAGAUACUGUGUUUUUAAAAUGUUAUUACUUUAUAUACGUGGUGAUGAAAUUACAUUUAAUAUAGAAAAGAAAAUUUCUUUUUUGUUUAAAAAAUUAUUAAGGAGGUAAACUUAUCUUUUUCUUAAAAUUAUUAUAUCUAAUUACUGUAGUUGAAACUGCGAUCAAUUUAUGCAUAGUUUAAACUGCUAUAGU